GACGAACGCUGGCGGCGUGCUUAACACAUGCAAGUCGAACGGAAAGGCCCUGCUUUUGUGGGGUGCUCGAGUGGCGAACGGGUGAGUAACACGUGAGUAACCUGCCCUUGACUUUGGGAUAACUUCAGGAAACUGGGGCUAAUACCGGAUAGGAUCUCCCGCUGCAUGGUGGGGGUUGGAAAGUUUCGGCGGUUGGGGAUGGACUCGCGGCUUAUCAGCUUGUUGGUGGGGUAGUGGCUUACCAAGCCUUUGACGGGUAGCCGGCCUGAGAGGGUGACCGGCCACAUUGGGACUGAGGUACGGCCCAGACUCCUACGGGAGGCAGCAGUGGGGAAUAUUGCACAAUGGGCGGAAGCCUGAUGCAGCAACGCCGCGUGCGGGAUGACGGCCUUCGGGUUGUAAACCGCUUUCGCCUGUGACGAAGCGUGAGUGACGGUAAUGGGUAAAGAAGCACCGGCUAACUACGUG
rnacentral:rRNA from 1 species